UUUAAGUCUACAAUCAAGAAUGAUAUUGUUUGGAAUGGACAGAAAUUAUAUAAGAGUCUGUAUCAAUUGACAGAAUGAAAAUCAUCGCAAGAAAUAGAGAAAGGACUGACGAAAUUACCGUGGUAGGGGUUUUCCAAAUGUAGUCUGCUGUGUUAACGGUACUUUAAUCAGAAUGCGAUGUCCCUUACAGAAUGAAGCUGAAUUUAUCUGUCGGAAAGGCUAUUAUGCAAUCAAUGUUCAGAUGACAUGUGAUGGAACUUUCCGCUUCGUCCAUUGUGUUGCCAAAUGGCCCGGUAGUGUACAUGACUCCCGUGUCUUCAGGGAGUCCUCCUUCGCGAGAUUAUUUGAAACUGGU